UACGUAGGGUGCAAGCGUUGUCCGGAAUUAUUGGGCGUAAAGAGCUCGUAGGCGGUCUGUCGCGUCGGCUGUGAAAACCCGGAGCUCAACUCCGGGCCUGCAGUCGAUACGGGCAGACUAGAGUGUGGUAGGGGGAGACUGGAAUUCCUGGUGUAGCGGUGAAAUGCGCAGAUAUCAGGAGGAACACCGAUGGCGAAGGCAGUGUUCUGGGCCAGUACUGAC
rnacentral:rRNA from 1 species